rnacentral:rRNA from 1 species
CGGAAAUGUGAUGCAGAUUCAGUGAUCAUCGAAUCUUUGAACGCACAUUGCGCCCCCUGGUAUUCCGGGGGGCAUGCCUGUUCGAGCGUCAUUUCACCACUCAAGCCUCGCUUGGUAUUGGGCAACGCGGUCCGCCGCGUGCCUCAAAUCGACCGGCUGGGUCUUCUGUCCCCUAAGCGUUGUGGAAACUAUUCGCUAAAGGGUGCUCGGGAGGCUACGCCGUAAAACAAACCCAUUUCUAAGGUUGACCUCGGAUCAGGUAGGGAUACCCGCUGAACUUAAGCAUAUCAAUAAGCGGAGGAAA